GAUAUUUGAAAAUAAAACAGAAUUAUCCGUGAGCCUUCUAUUGUGGUUAAAAGAAAAAAAAUGUCAGCUUCCUUGAAAAAGAGUGUCACGUUCAGGGCAGAUAUUUAAAAUAAGAAGGCCAUUAAUUCAUUGAUUCAUUGAAUAAAUAUUUAUUGGGCACCUAAUUUGUGCUCAGCAUUAUUGCAGGCAAUAAGGAAGGGAAUGAGACACCUGCCCUCAUGGAACUGACCUACUGGGGCAAAUGAUGAAUUUACUAGGUGGCGUGGUAGGUAUGAAGGGAAUGAACAAGGCCACGUGCUAGGAUGGCCAUGCUGGGGAGGCCUGCUAUAGACUGGGUGACCAGGGAAGGCCUCUCUGAAGAGGCAACCCUUGGGUGGGACUUGCAGAAUGAGAAAGCGUGAGCGUGCAGGAGCUAGGCGGGGAUUGUCCUGGGCACAGGGGUGCAAGUGCACAAGCCCUGAAGUGGGAAUGAGUUGGAGGUGGAGAAGUCCUGAAGUGGGAAUGAGUUGGAGGUGGAGAAGUCCUGAAGUGGGAAUGAGUUGGAGGUGGAGAAGUCCUGAAGUGGGAAUGAGUUGGAGGUGGAGAAGUCCUGAAGUGGGAAUGAGUUGGAGGUGGAGAAUGAGGCGGGGGCUGCUUCAGUGGGAAUCCCAAACACGAGUCGCUUUACUUCUAUGACUUCAACAUCGCGAGUUUUUUGUUGAAUGCAAAAUUGAAUAGUCAUUGGGUUUGUUUUUUAAGUGACUUAAAAAUUAUUACAUCUGUUUUGUGUGCACCUCACAGAAAAUUUGAUGAAAGGAGUGAAAGAGGAAAUCAAACAGCUAGCCAGUUGUUCCAAUGUCAUUCAUCAAAUAAAACCUCUCCCCCACUGGUGUGAAAUGCUAUCUCUGUCAUGUACUGAAAUCCCAUAUGAUUUGUAACGACGGGGCCCUCUCUUCAGUUUGUUUGUUUUGUUUGUUUUUAUUUUUUUUUUAGAUGGAGUUUUGCUCUUGUUGCUCAGGCUGGAGUGCAAUGGUGUGAUCUCAGCUCACCGCAACCUUUGCCUCCUGGGUUCAAGUGAUUCUCCUGCCUCAGCCUCCUGAGUAGCUGAGAUUACAGGCACGUGCCACCAUGCCCGGCUAAUUUUGUAUUUUUUUUUAGUAGAGAUGGGGUUUCUCCAUGUUGGUCAGGCUGGUCUUGAACUCCCAACCUCAGGUGAUCUGCCCGCCUCGGCCUCCCAAAGUGCUGGGAUUACAGGCGUGAGCCACCGCACCCAGCCCUCUCUUCAGUUUUAUCGGUCUGUCUGAUUCUGUUCUUGGGACCAUACUAUUUUAUCUGCUAUGAUUUUUCAUGUCUUAACUCACUUUAUUGAAAAGUAAUAAGGAUGACUAUGUAGGCAUGUUGAGUGUUUUCUUGGAUUACUGGUAUUAUGUUUUGGAAGGGAGUAUAUUUAGGCACUGAUUUUUGUUGUUAUUGCUAUGGAACACUAGUAGCAUCCCAGGGAAUAUACAUGUUUGUUAGAUUCCAGUUUGGGAAACACUAAACUUGUACUGUCUUGCUUCCAAAAGACUAGAAGGCUUGGGGUUGACCCUAGAGGAACUCAGAUUCACAGAGCAUUUACUGACCACCCGCCACGUGCCAGGCAUCAUACCAGAUGCUUUCGAGUGCAUCGUCUCACUUAACCCUUCCUCCAGAGGUUAAGUGACUGUGUUACAGCGAGCGCCCAACAUGUACCAAGUGACAUGCUACGUGCUGGAGAUGGGCAGUUACUUCUACACAUGUUCUAUCCUCCGGUCAAAUUGGACUGCUUGAUGUACCCCCAAAUAGUCAAAAUAAUAGCAUAUUGAUGGAGAGCUUUCUGAGUGCCAGGAAUCAGGCUUGUCACUGAACGUGAAUGAUCUCGUCUUACCCUCACAACAACAGUGCGCUCUCUUGUGGGUACACCUUAACUCCAGGCUUUCGUAAGUGGUAUAGAGGAAAGGGCCUGCACCUUGCAGUUAGACCGAAUUGGUUCUUAUUUCAUGGAUGAGGCCAUAGAGGUGUGGAGGGGUUAACUUACUUGUUAACAAAGUGGUGAAGCUAGGAUCUGGACCCAGGAGAACGCAGGCUCGGAGUGUAGAGCCUGCACAGACUGCCCAAGCUCUUCUGCUUGCCGAGCCUUAGAGCGUGCCAUUUCCCUGCCCUCGUUUCCAUGUAUUUAGGUUCUAUGCAUACUUCGAGGCCUCUCUGUCAUGUCAGAGAUGCAGCUGUUGCUUUCUUCCCUCGCCCAUGAUCUGCUGGGCUUGGCGCUUGGCUAGCCGGGCUGCUCUAUGGAGCUCAGCCUCCUUGAGGGCGGGCCACACUGGGGCAUAUCUCUGGCAGCCCCAGAGAUAUGUGGCACAGUGCCCUAAAACAGAACGGAUAUUUGCUGAAUGUCAAAUUGACUCUGGAGGGGCCAAACCCAAGACCUUACACGGGGAGAGGAGUGGUCGAAGGUUGGGCCUGUCAUUAUGGAGAGACAAGAGGUCCUCUCUUGGGAUACUCUUAAGUGGUACAGAGAAAUCAUAUGAGGCUGAGGUUAGAGCUGAAUUGAAAAUUGGCCACAUCACUUAUUAGCUGUGUACCCUCUGGAGCUCAAUUUCCUUGUUUGGGAAUUGUGAGAUUUAUGUAAGAUGAAUGCACUGAAGGUAUAAAAAGUCCCUACCGAGGUGCUGAGGUUAUAGCACUUCCUUCCCCCAUCUCUUUAACUCAACACAUCUUUAUGAACCUCCUAUGACACUUAAAAAACAGUGCUAAACAUUGGAUUUCUCAAUUGCUCCUAGGGAAUAGCAUUUCAAGGUUCAGUGGAGGAGAACCCCAAGAGCACCAAAAUGGAAAGAUGAUUUGUAAAGCUGAGGAAAAUGUCCAGCUGUGUUUUUAUGAGGACUCUCACUGCACUGAUAUGACAGAUGACACCUUCCCUCAACACUGUUCAUCAUUGACUGCUGAGGGCUCCUUCUUCAGUUUAUAACAGGAUGGUAACUUCAUAAGCAAUGUAGGACUUUCACAGGGUUCCACACGAAGCGUGUCUGGAUAAUUCAGCCAAGCUCUUCAGUCUCCAGCAGUGAUGGAAUCAGGAGCUCGCUUGGCCAGCCCUCUAAUGACUCAGUCACAGGGUCAUCCACUUGGGGGUGUGAGGAGAGGAGGCUUCUCCCCGCAAGUGCUUUCGGGGUGAUGCCGUAGAUUCUUUGUACCUCAGGAGUUACUUUUGCAAUUAGAGGUUCUCUCUCUCUCUUGGUAUUUUAUGCAUCUAAUUCUGCUUUUCUAUGCAUGAGUCUUGUCGGAUUCAGGCACAGCAAUAAGUCUCCAAAAUAGGGUCAGAGUGAGUUUAAUGAAGAAGUUAUUGUUUUCUUAAGGAUGAAAAUAAACAGAGAGAAUGCCUUAUUACAUAAUCAAUAACGUCGGCCUCUUGAUUAAAACACAAAUGCAAUUUAGCCCGAAAUUAUUCUCUAGUUUGAUGUUCUACAAAAUUAGAUUACGAUAAUAAAUGAUUGGACCUCUUAAGCACAGGCAGGUGUCCACACGCUGAUAGCCUCUGGAGGAGCAGGCUUCCCAAUCCGGAUUUCCUACGGAUGAAAGUUUAGGAAGAUGUAGUACUGAUCCCAACAUCUCACUCAUAGUUUCUGCAAUUAUUAAAGGCUAAAAGACAACACACAUAAUGGAAAAGCUUAGACUUUUGGAAUCGGAGGCUGGAUUUAGAUACUAGUUUCUCUGCUUAAUCAGCUGUGCAAAUUUUGUUUCAAGUUACUUAAUCUUUCUGAGCCUGUUUUCUUAAAAUAAAACAUUUUGAAAUGGGGUAACAAUAGCCACUGUACAGAGUUGUUUUUAUGUCUUCACAUACUGAAUGUGAAAGUAUAUAACAGUGCUUAGCACAUAUUAGGCCCUCAGUAUAUGGUAACUAAUAAUGUUACAAGUGCUUAUUAGCCUAAUACAAAACCGAAGACUGUUCACAUAGGUUCCAGCAUCUGAGGGCUCCAUCAGUUAGGUACACUAAGCCCAUGGUUCUCGACUUUUGCUGCUCACUAGAAUCUUCUGGGAAGCUUUUAAGAAAAG
rnacentral:lncRNA from 1 species